AACGAACGCUGGCGGCAUGCCUAACACAUGCAAGUCGAACGAGACCUUCGGGUCUAGUGGCGCACGGGUGCGUAACGCGUGGGAACCUGCCCUUAGGUUCGGAAUAACUCCCCGAAAGGGGUGCUAAUACCGGAUAAUGUCUUCGGACCAAAGAUUUAUCGCCUUUGGAUGGGCCCGCGUUGGAUUAGCUAGUUGGUAGGGUAAAAGCCUACCAAGGCGACGAUCCAUAGCUGGUCUGAGAGGAUGAUCAGCCACACUGGGACUGAGACACGGCCCAGACUCCUACGGGAGGCAGAAGUGGGGAAUAUUGGACAAUGGGCGAAAGCCUGAUCCAGCAAUGCCGCGUGAGUGAUGAAGGCCUUAGGGUUGUAAAGCUCUUUUAACCGGGAUGAUAAUGACAGUACCGGGAGAAUAAGCUCCGGCUAACUCCGUG
rnacentral:rRNA from 1 species